GGGUCUCGGGCUGGGCGGAGGUGAGUCCCGGGGCCUCUGGGCGCCUCAGUUGCCUCGGGUUGGAAAAUGGGCUGUCAAUGUGACCCCGGGGGAGUCCCUGGACCCCGGGGUGUACGGGGACGCCCGUGUCCCCGGCUUCCCGGAGGCUCCAUCGCGGCUGGGCGCCUGUUCUCUCAGCGGCCCAGAGCCACUUGCGCUCCCGCCGCCCCUGUCCCGACGGACCCGCCGAAGACGUGGAGGCAAGCCCGCAAGCCCGCAUGCCCCGCCUUGCAGCCAAAGCAAACAAACACAGAAGGAGCUCUGGAAAGGGAUCCCCCCGUCCUCCUCUUGCUCCUUUGGGACUUUGCGUGGUGUGCCCUGUGUACUGGAGCCCGACUUGCAGGAGCUGCCUGGGGAAGCAGACUGACCUGGAAGUCAGAGGCACCACCAAGCAGGAGGAAACGAUGGCGAGCAUCGCCCCGGUCUCCUAAUAAGCAGGAAAGCUGGGACACGCCCCUGAUCUUCGACUUUAAAAGCCCAAAGUCGGAAUGUCAGCCCCAUGUUACAACCAGUGAGAUCUGGGUCCCAGCUCUGCCCUCUGGGCACCACCAUGCCUGCCAGCUCCCUCUGCCCAGGACAGAGAUCAGAAAACCACUCACAGAUGGACCCCAGGACUCCGCCUGUCCAGUUGCCACUUGCCCAAAGGCUUCAUUUUACAGAUGAGAAAAUUGAGGCCGAAAAGGGGACAAGUCAAAGGACAGACUGGAGAGAGACCUGGCAGCGUAAUAAAAGUUCAUGACUUUCAGUCUUGUUCUUGUUCAGUUGCUAAGUCAUGUCCAGCUCUGUGAUCCCAUGGGCUGCAGCACGCCAGGGUUGCCUGUCCUUCACCAUCUUGUUCAAACUCAUGUCUGUUGAGUCAGUGAUGCCAUCCAACCAUCUCAUCCUCUGUCAUCCCCUUCUCCUCCUGGCUUCAGUCUUUCCCAGCGUCAGGGUCUUUUCAAAUGAGUCAGCUCUCUGCAUCAGGUGGUCAAAGGAUUAGAGCUUCAGCUUCAGCAUCAGUCCUUCCAAUGAAUAUUCAGGGUUGAUUUCCAUUAGGAUUGACUGGUUUGAUCUCCUUGCUGUUCAAGAGACUCUCUAGAGUCUUCUCCAACACCACAAAAGCAUCAGUUCUUCAUCACUCAGCCUUAUUUAUGGUCCAACUCUUACAUCCCUACAUGACUACUGGAAAAACCAUAGCUUUGACUAUAUGGAUCUUUGUUGGCAAAGGGAUGUCUCUGCUUUUUAAUACGCUGUCUAGGUGUGUAUAGCUUUUUUGCCAAGGAGCAAGCAUCUUUUAAUUUCGUGGCUGGCUGCAGUCACAGUCUGCAGUGAUUUUGGAGCCCAAAAAUAUAAAAUCUACCACUCUUUCUACUUUUUCCCCAUCUCUUUGUGAUGAAAUGAUGGGACCGAAUGACAUGACCUUUAUUUUUUGAAUGUUGAAUUUUAAACAAGGUUUUUCCAUUCCUGAGUAAUCUCCAGUUCCCCGAGGUCAGCUUGGACCACAGAGACUCAGCUUCAAGACGGUGAAUGCACUCAGAACACGUACCCUAGCCUGCUCACCACAUCUCAGUUCCUGGAAAUGAAAGAAACUGCAUAUCUGCUUGCAAUGUGGUGUCCUACGUGGGAUCCUGAUGGGAAUUAGGUAAAAACUAAAGGAAUCUGAAUAAAGUAUGGACUUCAGUUGAUGACAAUGUACUAACAUUAAAAAUGUUCAUUUUUAUUAUA
ensembl:lncRNA